AGACCUUGGUGCGCUCUUAACACACAUCAAUGAGCUUGCAACUCAACAUGAAUUUCACCACAAGGCC
rnacentral:tRNA from 1 species